rnacentral:rRNA from 1 species
AGAUUGAACGCUGGCGGCAUGCCUUACACAUGCAAGUCGAACGGCAGCACGGGAGCAAUCCUGGUGGCGAGUGGCGAACGGGUGAGUAAUAUAUCGGAACGUGCCCAGUCGUGGGGGAUAACGCAGCGAAAGCUGUGCUAAUACCGCAUACGAUCUAUGGAUAGAAAGCGGGGGAUCGCAAGACCUGCGCGAUUGGAGCGGCCGAUAUCAGAUUAGCUAGUUGGUGGGGUAAAAGCCGUACCAAGGCGACGAUCUGUAGCGUGGUCUGAGAGGACGACCAGCCACACUGGAACUGAGACGACCGGUCAGACGUCCUAGGGAGCAGCAGGUAGGGAAUUUUGGACAAGUGGGAC